ensembl:snRNA U6 U6 spliceosomal RNA
GUGUUCACCUCAGUGGCAUGCAUACUAAAAUUGGAGUGAUACAGAGAUUAGUUUGGCCCCCACUCAAGGGUGACACACACAUUCAAGAAGCAUUCCAUGUCUUC